GACGAACGCUGGCGGCGUGCCUAAUACAUGCAAGUCGAACGCACUCUCGUUUAGAUUGAAGGAGUUUGCUCCUGAUUGAUAAACAUUUGAGUGAGUGGCGGACGGGUGAGUAACACGUGGGUAACCUGCCCUAAAGUGGGGGAUAACAUUUGGAAACAGAUGCUAAUACCGCAUAAAACCUAACACCGCAUGGUGUAGGGUUGAAAGAUGGUUUCGGCUAUCACUUUAGGAUGGACCCGCGGUGCAUUAGUUAGUUGGUGAGGUAAAGGCUCACCAAGACCGUGAUGCAUAGCCGACCUGAGAGGGUAAUCGGCCACACUGGGACUGAGACACGGCCCAGACUCCUACGGGAGGCAGCAGUAGGGAAUCUUCCACAAUGGACGAAAGUCUGAUGGAGCAACGCCGCGUGAGUGAAGAAGGUGUUCGGAUCGUAAAACUCUGUUGUUGGAGAAGAAUGUAUCUGAUAGUAACUGAUCAGGUAGUGACGGUAUCCAACCAGAAAGCCACGGCUAACUACGUG
rnacentral:rRNA from 1 species